rnacentral:rRNA from 1 species
AGAGUUUAUGGGGGAUACCUUGGCAUUCAGAAGCGAUGAAGGACGUGGUUACCGACGAUAUGCUUCGGGGAGCUGGAAACAAGCUAUGAUCCGGAGGUUUCCGAAUGAGGCAACUUUUUAACUACUUAUUGAAUUCAUAGAUAAGAAAGAGCAAACCUAGAGAAUUGAAACAUCUUAGUACCUAGAGGAAAAGAAAGUAAAAACGAUUCCCUUAGUAGCGGCGAGCGAAACGGGAUUAGCCUAAACUUAAUUCUAAAUUAAGGGUAGUGGGACAAUAAUAAAAGAAUAAAUGGAACGAUUAGAGGAAUAAGUUUGGAAUACUUAACCAUAGAGAGUGAUAGUCUCGUACUCGAAAAUUGAACCAAUUCAAUUGUAUCCCAAGUAGCAUGGGGCACGUGAAAUUCCGUGUGAAUCUGCGAGGACCACCUCGUAAGGCUAAAUAUUCCUGAAUGACCGAUAGUGAAACAGUACCGCGAGGGAAAGGUGAAAAGAACCCCGGGAGGGGAGUGAAAAGAACAUGAAACCAUAAACUUACAAGCAGCAGGAGGAUGACUAAAACGUCUGACUGCGUUCCUGUUGAAGAAUGAGCCGGCGACUUAUAGUUAGUGGCAGGUUAAAGCAGUGAAUGCUGGAGCCAAAGUGAAAGCGAGCCUGAAUAGGGCGUAUGUAUGUCACUAAUUAUAGACCCGAACCUGGAUGAUCUAACCAUGGCCAGGUUGAAACUUAGGUAAUACUAAUUGGAGGACCGAACCGACUGAUGUUGAAAAAUCAGCGGAUGAGUUGUGGUUAGGGGUGAAAUGCCAAUCGAAUCCGGAGCUAGCUGGUUCUCCCCGAAAUGCGUUUAGGCGCAGCGGUUAACGCUAUAGCUUAGGGGUAAAGCACUGUUUCGGUGCGGGCUGCUAACGCGGUACCAAAUCGAUGCAAACUCUGAAUACUAAGUGUGUAGUUAACCAGUAAGACUGUGGGGGAUAAGCUCCAUUGUCAAGAGGGAAACAGCCCAGACCACCAGCUAAGGCCCCUAAAUGAUUACUAAGUGAUAAAGGAUGUGGGAAUGCUGAGACAAUCAGGAGGUUCGCCUAGAAGCAGCUACCCUUUAAAGAGUGCGUAAUAGCUCACUGAUCAAGCGCACCUGCGCCGAAAAUGAACGGGGCUAAGUAAUCUGCCGAAGCUGUGGGAUCUUUUAGAUCGGUAGGGGAGCGUUCCACAAUAGAUUGAAGCAUUAGCGUAAGCGGGUGUGGACGAAGUGGAAGUGAGAAUGUCGGCUUGAGUAGCGAAAACAUUGGUGAGAAUCCAAUGCCCCGAAAACCUAAGGGUUCCUCCGGAAGGCUCGUCCGCGGAGGGUGAGUCAGGGCCUAAGGUGAGGCCGAAAGGCGUAGCUAAUGGACAACGGGUUAAUAUUCCUGUACCAUCUAUUGUUGAUAUCGAGGGACGGAGAAGGCUACAUCAGCCGGAUGUUGGUUACCGGUUUAAGCGCCUAAGACGUUGAGAAGUGGAGAAAACACUUUGAGUUAAAGCGUGAAUACGAAAUGCUACGGCAUUGAAGUGAUCUAUGCCAAGCUUCCAAGAAAAUCUCGUCAUAUCUUAAACAAUAAAUGCCUGUACCUUAAACCGACACAGGUAGGUAGGUAGAGUAUACCAAGGGGCGCGAGAUAACUCUCUCUAAGGAACUCGGCAAAAUAACCUCGUAACUUCGGAAGAAGAGGUACCCUUGAAAAAGGGUUGCAAUAACCAGACCCUGGCGACUGUUUACCAAAAACACAGGUCUCCGCUAAUUCGUAAGAUCAAGUAUGGAGGCUGACGCCUGCCCAGUGCCGGAAGGUUAAAGAAGUUGGUCAAUCUUUGGAUGAAGCUGGCGACUGAAGCCCCGGUGAACGGCGGCCGUAACUAUAACGGUCCUAAGGUAGCGAAAUUCCUUGUCGGGUAAGUUCCGACCCGCACGAAAGGCGUAACGAUCAGGGUGCUGUCUCGGAGAGAGACUCGGCGAAAUAGACAUGUCUGUGAAGAUGCGGACUACCUGCACCUGGACAGAAAGACCCUAUGAAGCUUUACUGUAUCUUGGAAUUGGGUUUGGGCCUUGCUUGCGCAGGAUAGGUGGGAGGCUAUGAAAAUAUUCUUGUGGGAAUGUUGGAGCCAACGGUGAGAUACCACUCUAGUAAGGCUAAAAUUCUAACUCUGAACCGUUAUCCGGUCAGAGAACAGUUUCAGGUGGGCAGUUUGACUGGGGCGGUCGCCUCCUAAAAGGUAACGGA